rnacentral:lncRNA from 1 species
UCUCUAAGCGGUAUAUGCAUUAGCAACGUAUACUUUCCAUUCCAGGAAUUUAAUAAGCUGGACUCAAGAAAUCCAACAGCAAAAAUGAGAGGAAACCAAUCUUAGAAAUUAAAAUCAAAACCUUCUCAACACACAAAUUGACUCUAUGACCAAGGUCACCUCAGUAGAAUUUCAGAGUUUAAGGGUUAAUGUAAAUCAACAUUCUAAACAUGAUGUUAAACGAAACGGGACGACAAACUUCUACAACACUUAGUGCCAGCAUCUAGUAGACGAUAACAACAAAUCCAUAAGAAAAAAAAUAAAACAAAAACUUAUUAUGCAUGACAUCUAUUCAUCCUAAACUCAAAACACUGGCGUGAAACAACAACAACAUCACAAUGGCAUGAAAGUUUACAAAGAAUCCUACAGUAAAUCAAAUAACCAAAAAAAAUUAUGGUCUUAGAAUGCCGUUACCCACUGUGAUGUUGAAUAGUCAAUGUUGAUGAGCUUGCGUCACUGUAGGUUAGACUUCUUGAGGAUAUCAGAGUCCGAGUUGUCCAUUUCGCGCUCGGUUACGGACAGGCGGAGGGAGGAGCUCCUGGACACCGUUUAUCGUUGGGUUGCGAUGCUGCGGCGGCGAUGGUUUUGUGGUCGGAGGAUGAUGAAGAUGGACUGUAAGGUUUUUUCGGUGAUGAGUGAGCGGUGGAGGGUUUCGAAGCGAUUGAUGGUGGGUUCACUGCGGCGAGAGCAGCGAUGGAGUGAGAGGGUCGAUUUAGGGUUUGAGGGUUUAGUGGUGAUUGAAGGAGAUUGAAGGUGGUGAGCUCGCGGUUAGUGAUGGCGGAGGUUUUAACGGCGAAGUGAGUUGUGUGGGAGGGUUGACGAUGAGGAUUUGAAGCGGCUUGAAGAUGAUUGACGGUGGAGGAGGGUUGUUUAUGGUGUGUGGCCGCGUGAUUUUGUGAGGAAGAGAGAGAAUCGUGAAGGGUUUUUGGAGAGUGAAUGAAGGAGUGUUGAAGGUGUUGAAGGGUUUGACGGUGGUUUUGUGAGGAGGCGGCGUGAAUCGCGUGAGGAUGAAGGUGAAUCUGUGAGCGAGUUUGUGAAGAAGAUGGAAAGUAGGUGGAUGGGGUUUCACGCGGCGGUGGCGAUAUGAGUGGUGGCGGUGAAGGCAGAGGUUGAUGACAGGCUACGGUGGUCUGGUUGGCGGAAGCUAUGAAGAUUGAAGGGGAGAUGAGUGAAUAGUGAGGAUUUUUUUGAGUGAUUUGUGAGUGUGUUUUCUGUGAGGGAAUCCGAGUGAGAGAGGAUAAGGGUGAGGUGUGAGUGGGUUUUUGAGUGAAAUGAGGGACGUAUCCGCGAAAUCGUGAGAGAGGAGAGGGGAUUUGCAAGGAUCGUGUGAGUGCUAGCUGGCAAAUCUAGGAGGAUCCAAUGCUAAAAUAUACUAUUAUUUAUUUAAGAAAACUAAAAUCAACAAAGAAAAAAAACUAAUUACUAUUUGAUUCUAAUUAAUAUCUAAGAAAAACUAACUAAUAUUUAAUUAAAUCACUAAUAUUUUAAAAAACUAACUAAUGUUAAAAAAAACUAACUAAUAUUUUAAGAAAUCUAACUAAUAUUCAAUUAAAUACACUCUAAUUAUUUUAAUUAAAUAUCUAAACAAAAAAUAAUGACCAAUUAAAAAUAGAAAUUGAGUACAAAUUAUUCGGAACAUUAAAUCAACCACACCAAGAUUAUCAACACAAAACACAUUAUUUGAAAAAUACACUGUUUUCCUCAAAUUUCAACGAUUCAACCGAUUUGUCUGUACUCUCCAAUAAAUUCAUUUUGAUUGACAUCUUAGGCAUUUAUUCAUGAUGCAAAUGUAUGUAAUGGUAUGUAUGUGAUGAAAAAAUAAAAUGAGAUCGAUUGUAUGAAAAAAUUUAAAUAUGCCCGGACAAAAUUGGGGUACGACACUAGAGAUGAAGUAUUUUCUUGAAAUGAGGACCACAUGAUCAUUAUAAAGAGCUUGCAUGAGCUAGGGUUUUAUUUUGAAGUCAUUUCAUCAAGUGGUAAAAGCUCAAGUUCAUCAAGGCAUUUCAAGGUCAUCUGAGGACCAAAAAGUCAACUGUGCAGUUAACUGAGGGCUAUGAGGUGGGGGAAAUGAGUUGAGACACCUCAAUGAUGUUCAAAUGAGGCCUAUUCAUCAUUCUAAACUUCCAUCUUGAAGAUUCAAAGGUCAUGGCAAAAGUUGCUAAAAAUGGAAAAUGACCUAUAAUUCAAAGUUUCCAAAUUUGGCAAGUUUUUAGUCAACUUUCAACUUGACUUGUCAAUGUCAAAGAAGUUUCAAAUGGAUUUUUGGUGAACAUGAAAGUUAUAGAUCUUUGUCUCCCCUUUCUAAAAAGUCCUAAGUCAUGUCCAUAUGAUGAAUGGUUGAGAAGGUAUGGUCAUUUGAUCACAAGGUGUGCAUGGAAAUUCAAAAUGGCAUAACUUUUGAUACAAAGCUCCAAAUUGGUCCAUUCUUUUUGCAAAAUGCUCCUCAUGUUCAAGAUAUUCCAAAUGAACCAUUGCCAUGCAUGAGAGAGAGGCUUGUAUGCU